UUCCAGCUCCAAUAGCGUAUAUUAAAGUUGUUGCAGUUAAAAAGCUCGUAGUUGAACUUUGGGCCCGGUUGGCCGGUCCGAUUUUUUCGUGUACUGGAUUUCCAACGGGGCCUUUCCUUCUGGCUAACCUUGAGUCCUUGUGGCUCUUGGCGAACCAGGACUUUUACUUUGAAAAAAUUAGAGUGUUCAAAGCAGGCGUAUUGCUCGAAUAUAUUAGCAUGGAAUAAUAGAAUAGGACGUUUGGUUCUAUUUUGUUGGUUUCUAGGACCAUCGUAAUGAUUAAUAGGGACGGUCGGGGGCAUCAGUAUUCAAUUGUCAGAGGUGAAAUUCUUGGAUUUAUUGAAGACUAACUACUGCGAAAGCAUUUGCCAAGGACGUUUUCAUUAAUC
rnacentral:rRNA from 1 species